CCAACCCUCCUCUUGUCCCCGUCCCAUGCCAGGAGAUGUGAUGUCUCCAUACAGACCAGCCAGGGACUGACUGACGGAGGCCACCUCUGCCUUCUCAGCAGAGCAAACUCUGCAGCUCCUGGAAAGCCCAUCCCUGGCCAACCCUAUUUACCCGUCAGGAGCCCAAGGGAGCCCUGUUUGUUGCUAUGGCAACAAACGCAGGGAGGGCUCAGCCUCCAGGCCAGGAAGGGUCAACUCAGAAUACACGUUUCCCAGGCCAGGCUCCAGCAAGGAGAAGGAGGCUACUGUGUGUCCAGCAAGGCUUGAGGACGUGGAGUGACCGUGAUUCUGAGUGGGGUGAACACCCCACCCACCCGCAGAAGCCCCCAAGAGAAGGCUGCCCGGGAGCAAGAGCUGCACGAACUGGCUGAACCCUGCAGGGCCUGGGGGCGACUACGCUUUCCGCCCCGCCUGGGAGAGGGGUCCCCGGAAGUCCUGUUGCACUGGAGAGCCGGGGCCGGCUCCCCACGUCACACCCCAGCCUGCCCCUUGGGCCCCUCGGAUCCCACAGAGCCAGCAAGGAGGGCCCAGAUGCUACCUGGAGACAGACACCAGCCUGGACCAGCGCCCCCCACCCCUGCAAGCCCUGAGCGUCUGGAGACCUGGGGUCUCUUUGUCCUGCUCCUUCCUCCGCAGGGGGACUUAGAGGGUCAGCAGUGAGUCACUCCUGAAUCAGCUCCUGGGGGUGAGCAGUGGCCAAGCCUGGGAGACAGAGGGCUCCUCUCGAAGUUCACCUGGACACCUCCCCUCCAAGCCCAGGGCCCUCCAACCCAGGAUCCUGGGCCCUGCGGGGCAGUGGGCGGUAUUGGCCUGAGGCAGGAGCUACCACCCCACUCUCCAUGGCUGUGUUUCUCCUAGCCAGCCCUAUUUGGAAUUCCAAAGGGCAGUGGAGGGGCCUCCAACCCCUGCCCAGGCCACUAGACCCCCACUCAAUUCGGCCACCCUGGUGGGAGGGGGACAGGAAGAGAGGGCAGGCUCAGGCCGCAAGGGUCAGGGGUCAGGAUGCCAAACCCUAGGUGCAAACCGGGGGGCCACUGGAGCCGCAGGCGGAGAGGACACCUGGGCCCCACCAGGCCAACGCCAAGCUCAUGCCCCACUCCCCUCAUUUUAGCCCCAGCAUUGCUUCCCGAUGUCCCCAUACGUGGGCAAAACCAGG